UUGUGUUCAUGCCAUCUUAUAUGUGUGCCUCUUUGGUUUUAACAUGGAGAAAUUUUUAACGCCAUGAGAUGGCGCUCUAUCUUAUAUCUUCAGAAGAUUUAAGAGUCCAUAUAAAAAUGGGAGACUAGUUUUGGAUGCCAGAUGAUACUCCAUGCUAUGGAGAGGCCUCACGCCUCUUAGAAAAUUAGCACCCACAUGAGAAGUCCUUCUGAGAGGACUCCUCUCUCCCACAUGCUAAAUCAGCUCUUCAUCC
rnacentral:lncRNA from 1 species